rnacentral:misc_RNA from 1 species
CAAAGCUAUUCAUUUUCCUAGCAAAACCUUUAAUUUCCACCCUUACCUGUCUUUAUUUUCAUUCCCUUGUAAACUCAUCUUGCCCAUUUUUUUGGUUUUCGUCCUUCCAAACAUGGCUGAACAAAUCCCAUACAGCAUUGCAGAACACUUAUUAGAAAAGUUGUCCUCAGUUGCUUUUGAAGAAAUUAAUUUGGUGCGUGGUGUCAAAACUGAUCAAAAGAAGCUUAAAGAUACUCUCUCUACUGUCAAUGCUGUGCUCCAAGAUGCUGAGGAGAAGCAACAAGACCGUACGGUGAAAAGUUGGAUAAGGAGGCUUAAAGAAGUUGUCUAUGAUGCAGAUGACUUGUUUGAUGACAUAGAGACAGAAGAACUGCGCAAGAAGGUUAAUGGUGGGGCUAAAUUAGCAAGAAAGGUAUGCGAUUUCUUUUCUUCCUCAAAUCAAAUU